GCAGAGCGCUUGAAAGGUGCAGGUGUAGGUGCAGAUGAAUGCCAUUUUGACUUCUCGGUGAUCAGUGUCGAUAUGAGGUGGUGUCUUUCCUCCAUGAUGGCCAGAUCUCACAGGCAUCAUGGUAAAUACUCUUCCCUUUUUGGGGUUUCUUGAGGCCCUUAUAUGGUGAUUUAAUCGAUUAUCUUCACAAGCAUGGAGAUUUUUUUGGGGGGGUUUCCUUGGGCUUUUUUGCUUUUUCUUGUUCAGCGAAUUGGGACAUUUUAAACGGCAGUGAAGUGCGGGAUCAGCAAAUCGCAGAAAACGCUAAUUAUACAGUCGACUGCAGCUCUUAAUAUGAGGUGGGAACAUAGGCCAACAGCUCAUGGCGUGGGCUUUCUCACUAGCUUCUUUAAGUUGGAUCUAGGGUUUCCCCAAUGCUUGUGCACUGUAGCCUCGAUAUUCUGUGAAAUUACUCAUUAGUUCUAGGGAUUCAAAUGAACAACUGAUCCUCGAUUGUGUGUCUUUCUACCACUAUCAUAUGUUAUGCUUCAUAUGGAUGGCUUUUGUUUGUGCUUCAGCACAUGGCACGACGAAUUAGUUGUGAUGGUUAUUUUUUUUCCCAAUUUGACAUGUUGCAUUUACAUAUUGUACAUAUAUCUGGGCUCAUAUUGAUAUGAUCAAAGUAUUUUCAGGAGACGAGAUCAAUUAAGUUGUGCAAGACUUUGGUACGGUUGUCCCGCAGCCGCUUUAACCGUAACAAGGGGUUAUGUAAAAAGGGGUGCUGCAGCUUUUAAAAGUAUACGAGUAUACAGGUAGAGGAUGCACUCGUAUCUAAGGCUGACCUUCGCCAUUUGUGAAGGUAAGUUUCAUGCACAAAAUUUUGUUCAUUAAUUAUGGGAAUUUUUUAGAAGGCCUUUGUACAUUAUAACUUACGGAAUUAGUCCCAAAGGUUUCACUCCCUUCUCGAGACCAGGUUAUAUCAGUAUCAAUAUGAAGAUUAAAACUGUGCCAUCUAGAAUAUUGGAAUGCUAGGGUUCAUUCACAGAAUGGGUUGCAUCAAGUGAUCACAAGUUCUUUUAGGUGUUUGAAUAUAUCCGAUAGCUUAUUUGAAUAUCCACUCAAAAUUUAUGCUAAACGGUUUUACAGAAUUUUGCAAAUGAAUCUAUAUCUAGCAGUAUAUUCUGAAAUGUAAAGCAACUAAAUGUUUUGGAACAAUACAGAUUGACACGGUUGGAACUUUGGACGGGGUUGAUAGCAACAAAGUUGGUAUUGACAUCAGUCGCAUUGAGUCAAAUGUUGAUCAUGUAUUACUGCUUUUUUACAAUGGCACAUGGCAAUAUUAGUUGUUUGCUGUACUAUAGUUAGGUGUUCCAAGAACUAUACAACUUCUUAUGUCAUCAAAUAAUCAAGCGACUAUUAAAUUAGAGAUCUCAGAUGCAAUAAUAUAAGCAAUCAGUAAUGGUAUAAGAAAUCGGCAACAUUGUAUCAUUUUCCUUAUAGGAUCUUUAUAAGAUGAUAGUUGAAAACUUCAUCGUGAUAGACAUGGGUUCUUAUAAACUUAAUUCUCAAUCAAAAGAAGUAGAUGAUUCUGCUAACUACUUUCUGUGCCUGUACUUUGUCUAUUGUCAUGACAAAAUCUUUCAAAUUUAAAAGUUUUCUGUCUGGAUGUUCAACUAAUUCUUUAGGCUUCAAACUAUAUGGCUUUCGUACGAUUUUGGUCUUUACUCUCCAUUGCUGUCCAUUUGGAUUCCAAUUCUAAUAGCCGAAGCAUAGUAUGAUAACACAAAUGACGCAAACAAAUUAUAACAAGUAUAAAAAAGCACAAACUUCUUAUGAUCUGAAGCAUCUUAACUUUUGUUGAUUGGUUUCAGUAUAUGAGGAGCAGAUCAGAAAAUAAGCAGCAAAUAAAAAGACCUUGAUUUUGACUCGUUUGGCUUUGUCAUGAUCAGUUGAGUGUUGAUAACUACGCGAUUGAACACCUAACUUCAGCUUGAGUAUAUCGAUGCUUUUCCAGAAAGUUUCCGUGUGACUCUUAUCCCAGAUUAAAAGGUUGUCUAGUUAUCCCAUUUUCGUAGAACUGAUCAAUUUCUAUGUGAAGGAUUUUAAACAAUGAUAAUUUUGGGAUCUGGCUUUAAUUCACCCCCCUUUUUUUUUGCAUUUUAACAUCUUUUCAUUUCAUAUAUGAUCGGUCGGAGGCAGGAGAAUCAUAUCCGAAAGAAUUGUUGUUGGUUAUUCCACAAUCUCUGUCCUUUAAUAUAAGCAUAUGAUAUCAAAUUGUAUGUUUCGAUUGCAGGAAGUAGAAUUUAAAUCGAAACGAGGACCCCUCUUUUUUUUUUGCCUUAUCACUAUCACUGUAGCAUACCUCCACAAUAUUUACUUGUAUUGAAUCUUGGUUGUCUCGAUCCGACUUCAAGUAAACAUCUAGCCUGCUUUGUU